AAGACGAUACUGUUAGCCACCUUUUACUAGUAACUAACAUGGGACAUGAAAAUAUCUAAAUUGAUGGUUCAUUAAAUUAACAAUCGAUUAAGAUCGCUCGCGCGCGUUUGAAAUGAAAUAUAGCCUUACGUAAGGGACUCACGAAGUGUAAUCUACUUUAUUGUUUCUCAGUUUCCUUACAUCAAACAGCAAAAAAGGACACUGGACAGUACUUGCAUUUGAAUGAUCUUUUUUAAUACACGUCAGACUAUAACGUUAUAAUUUAUUCCACAAUCAUUUAUUCCAUCGUCGCUUUAAAUCAUGUACAUCGGUAGCUCGGUGGCUAAUCUGAAGGACAGAGUGAAUACGAUGUACUCGAAUCGUUGCAAGACACAUUGUCACCUAUAAUCUUUAAAGAUUAGUGAUUACAGAACAAGACCUCAGUACAUCAGUGAUACACCCGUCUGCGUCUCAAUUGACGCUCAACAUCGUCUUCACCAAAUCUUUACAUCAUCCCAGAUCUAAGACUGAUGAGACACGCAGUAAAAUGGAAUAUCAUCGCUCAACCAGUUGGUUCUUGGCCACCUGAUCGCUGAAGCGCACAGUUCCUUUCCGUGUCGUGUAACAUGAUUCUUAUAGACUGGCCUGCCUAGUCCAGAAUUUACAAACACGGAUCAAGAACAUUCCACAGUUCAAUCAAGAUAAGUAAGAUAUUAAGUAUAAGUGCUAAAUCCAAAAAUCCUACACAAGUUUCUAAUUAUUUCAAAUGUGUAGUCAGUAGUGACAGCAUUAUAUAUGACAAGUUGAAUUAUCCCUUUAACUCUCAGAAGUGAUUAACAUGUAGCUUCUCCCUAUAAUUUCAAUACAUCAUCCAGCAAACAGGUAA